rnacentral:lncRNA from 10 species
UUGGAGUGCGAUGGCACGAUCUUGGCUCACUGCAGGCUCUCCCUCUCGGGUUCACACCAUUCUCCUGCCUCAGCCUCCUGAGUAGCUGGGACUACAGGUGCCCGCCACCAUGCCUGGCUAAUUUUUUGUAUUUUUAGUAGAGACGGGGUUUCACCAUGUUAGCCAGGAUGGUCUCGAUAUCCUGACCUUCAGAUAGAUGGUGUUUCUAUAUUUGUUUUUUUCUUUUCUUUUCUUUUCUUUUCUUUUUUUUUGAGACAGAGUCUCGCACUGUCACCCAGGCUGGAGUGCCGUGGCGCGAUCUCAGCUCACCGCAACCUCCGACUCCUGGGUUCCAGUGAUUCUCCUGCCUCAGCCUCCCGAGUAGCUGGGAUUACAGGCAUGUGCCACAACACCUGGCUAAUUUUUUUUGGUAUUUUUAGUGGAAACGGGGUUUUGCCAUGUUGGCCAGGCUAAUCUCAAACUCCUGACCUCAGGUGAUACAACUGCUUGGCCUCCCAAAGUGCUGGGAUUACAGGCGUGAGCCACCGUGCCUGGUCUAUAUUUGUUUCUUUCGUAUUGCUGCAUGUAUGGCAAUGAUGCCUACACUUUGUACAUAGUAAGUAUUCAAGCAAUUUUGCCGGGCUGUCAGGAUAAAUGUAGAUGUUGCUACAAAGACAGGAUCAUUUCUGAUUUGAAGGUAACAUAACCGGGAGAGAGUUCCAGCUCAUGAAUUUGCCUGAACUGGAAGCUUCCCCUGGGAUUAUUGCCCUGGUGAAACAGAGUCCUUGUCUGCAUUUUUUUCAGUGUCCUCAGUGGCAUAAUUUGCCAAUUUGAUUUAAAUAUUGGUAGCCAAAGAAGGCAAAGGUAUUAUUAUAAAAGAAGGUGGUCAAUGGAACCAUGGUGUUUUCUGGACAAAGCAAAGACACUACAUUUUUUGUCCAGAAGUAGGUAAAGGUUAUAUUAAGUGAUGAUAUCUGAUUACUCAAGUGAAGAUUAUUUGACCAUGCUUUGGAAGCCUGAUAUGAUUUGGCUCUGUCCCCACCCAAAUCCCAUUUUGAAUCGUAAUCCCCACAUGUUGGAGGAGGGGCCUGGUGGGAGGUGAUUGGAUCAUGGGAACAGAUUUCCUCCUUGCUGUUCUCAUGAUAGUGAGUAGUUCUCAAGAGAUCUGUUGGUUUUAAAGUGUUGCACUUCUCCCCUCGCUCUCCCUCUCUCUCCUGCUCCACCACGAUAAGAUGUGCCUGGCUUCCCCUUUGCUUUCUGCCCUGAUUGUAAGUUUCCUGAGGCUUCCCAAUCAUGCUUCCUGUUAAGCCCGUGGAUCUAUGAUUCAGUUAAACCUCUUUUCUUCGUAAAUUACCCAGUCUCAUGUAGUUCUUUAUAGCAA